UACAGAGGUCUCAAGCGUUGUUCGGAAUCACUGGGCGUAAAGCGUGCGUAGGCUGUUUCGUAAGUCGUGUGUGAGAGGCGCGGGCUCAACCCGCGGACGGCACAUGAUACUGCGGGACUAGAGUAAUGGAGGGGGAACCGGAAUUCUCGGUGUAGCAGUGAAAUGCGUAGAUAUCGAGAGGAACACUCGUGGCGAAGGCGGGUUCCUGGACAUUAACUGACGCUGAGGCACGAAGGCCAGGGGAGCGAAAGGG
rnacentral:rRNA from 1 species